GUGUCAGCAGCCGCGGUAAUACAGAGGUCCCAAGCGUUGUUCGGAUUCACUGGGCGUAAAGGGUGCGUAGGUGGUGAGGUAAGUCGGAUGUGAAAUCUCGGAGCUUAACUCCGAAAUGGCAUUGGAAACUACCUUGCUAGAGGAUUGGAGGGGGGACUGGAAUGCUUGGUGUAGCAGUGAAAUGCGUAGAUAUCAAGCGGAACACCAGUGGCGAAGGCGAGUCCCUGGACAAUUCCUGACACUGAGGCACGAAAGCUAGGGGAGCAAACAGGAUUAGAUACCCGCGUAGUCC
rnacentral:rRNA from 1 species